AUGCCGGAGAACGGAGUUGAGCUUGCAGCAGUACCACCCUUCGCCGAUACCUUGACUGGGCUAACCGAUGCCAACGGCGGCAAUGACCUUGACAUCGAUGGCCGCAUUCACGAGCUCUCCGAAAUCAUCAUGCAUGAAAUGUGUGCUAGCCGGGUGCCCCGACCAGGGAAACCAGAGAUCUAUCGCGUUCCCGAGACGUUCCUCGCCGCCGACGAGGGCGCCUACCAGCCGAGGUUCCUGUCCCUGGGGCCAUAUCACCGCGGCGACUCCGCCACGGAGGAGAUGCGGCGCACCGACGAGCGCAAGCUAGAGAACCUGGCCUACGCCCUCCAAGACGGCGGGCCGUCGGUGGAAGAGUACAUGGAGGCCAUAGCGUCCGUUGAGGCCGACGCCAGGAGCCGCUACGACGGAGACGUCGCCAUGGAGUGGGGCGCGUUCUGCAGGAUGCUACUGCUCGAUGGGUUCCAGCUGAUUACAGUGCUCAAGUUUCUCGGCUAUGAGCCGCCGCCGCUUCCACCUCCAGCUCCAGGGUGCAGCAGCAACAACAAUGGACAAGGGAACUGCAGGCCGAGGACCAGCGUUGUCAUCAGUAUCGAACAUGACUUGAUGAUGCUGGAGAACCAGAUACCAUUCUUCGUCGUCCAGAGGAUCCACCGCUUGCGAUACGGCAUUGGUGGAAAUGGAAUGGACACGGUUGAAGAGCUAGCCUGGAGGACCAUCAAAAGAAUUAUGAAUGACGCCCCGGCAGCGACCAGCUUUCCACCGGCGAAGUGCCACCAUUUGGUACAUCUGUGCCAUGAAUACCUGAGGCCAAGCAACCUCGACAAGUCACUAGGCGCAUGCGGUGAUUAUGGAAGAUUCCGGCGAGCCAUCGAGUACCACGAGGCCGGUGUCAAGUUCAGGCGGUUAAACAGUGAAGCGGACGGCAGCUCGCGGCGCCCCUUGCUGGACGUGACCUUCUCCGACGGGGUGCUGAGGAUGGCGCAACUGAGGGUGGACGAGAGGACCAAUUACAUCCUCCGCAACGUCCUCGUUUACGAGCAGCGGUACGACGACACGGCCACCAGCGGCGCCACCAGCUACGUGACGGCGUAUGUGAUGUUCAUGUCGCAGCUGCUGGGCGGGCCGGAGGACGUGGCCCUGCUGUCGCGGCACGGGGUCAUUGAGCACCACCUGGGCGACGACGCCGAGGUGUGCGCGCUGUUCCGGGGGCUGGCGCAGGGGCUCGUCUUCGACCCGUCCGGCGGGCACUACCUGAGCACGGUGGGCGUGAGGCUGCGGUCGCACCACCGGUCGCGCCUCAACCGGUGGCGUGCCUGGGUCAUGCGGCACCGCUUCCGCAACCCGUGGCUCGCCGUGGCGUGGGUCUUGGGCUCCAUGGCCGUGCUGGGCACCAUCGUCCAGACUGUGAUCACUCUGCUUCCCUACGUGCAUCAUCAAGGACGCACGCGCAACAUCGGAAGCUAG
rnacentral:rRNA from 1 species